rnacentral:lncRNA from 12 species
GGAUGUUUAAAGAAUGCAGGGCAGCAAUUUCUUCCUUUCUCUCUUGUCAAACAGCAUUUGCUAAACUCUUGUUUUUAGCAAAAGCAGGUGUUUUAUACUCAGAGUCUCUUUUCACAUUAAAUAUAUCCCUGGUUCAUAUAUUUCCAGCCCGGGAUGAAUUCGACAUGGUAUUGAAACUGUCAAGGGAAAUCAGUGGAGGUGACAAUGUUGGAAACAGAUCAUCUGGCUGAUAGCUUCAGGAAGUUAUUUUGAAACAAAACCGCAACAAGAAAGCAGAGGUGGGUAGCUGUGUGUGGGGACGGGCUGGACGGGGAGGGGACACGGCAUUCCCUGCAGCCGGGUGCGAGCACAUCGCCAGAAGUGCCAGACAGUCCACGAGGAGCGCGUCUGGGCUUCAGACCAUCAGACAUCACCCGAUCCCAGACACCGAAUGAGAUCAUCUAUGUAAGGAGCCCUCUGGAGAUAUGAAGCAUUCAGGAGCCAUACGGUGUCAUAAUUCUUACUGCUCCUGUUACUUCAUCAGUGAUGCCGGGCGUCUGUCUUUGGAAGGACACUUUUGGGCUGGAGGGGAAUGAGAAACGUCUUUAAUACACAUCUGGGCUCUUUCUUCUGUAUUUGUCGUCCUCUGCACGUGAGUCAGAGUGUGGAGCGAGGCCAGGCCAGACGGCGCUGCGUGCAAACACUGACCACCAGGCAGCCGCUCACCGCGUCUCACGGCCCCCGGCCCCUGUCACCUCCCCACCGUCGCCUGGCAGCUGCAAGGCGCAGUUGCUACUGGUCCAGGACCCCAUGGGACCUUGGCCAGCCUGAUCACAUGGCUUGGCAGCAUGAACACUGAAGGCCCAGGGAGAAUCUCCCUAACUCUACAGCCCAACACGAACAAGAAGAGUGUAUGCCGCCCUGAACGGCCUCUUGUACCCACGAGGGGAGCCAGCCUCGAGAUCAGGCCCAGGGGCUGGGGAGAGGACCUGCGUCCUUGGCAACAACACCAGGAUGCUGAGUCAACCCACCCUGUGGCCUGCCCUCAGUUACGCUUCUCAUGAGAUGACAUAAUAAUGUCUUCAUUACAUAAGUUUUGUGUUAUUUGUUGAAAGCGUCCUGAUUAAUUCGGCUCCUGGCAGGCAGCAGGGGUAGCACAUCUAAGAUGGACACCUCAG